UGGGGAAUAUUGGACAAUGGGCGCAAGCCUGAUCCAGCCAUGCCGCGUGAGUGAAGAAGGCCCUAGGGUUGUAAAGCACUUUCACCGGUGAAGAUAAUGACGGUAACCGGAGAAGAAGCCCCGGCUAACUUCGUGCCAGCAGCCGCGGUAAUACGAAGGGGGCUAGCGUUGUUCGGAUUUACUGGGCGUAAAGCGCACGUAGGCGGACUUUUAAGUCAGGGGUGAAAUCCCGGGGCUCAACCCCGGAACUGCCUUUGAUACUGGAAGUCUUGAGUAUGGUAGAGGUGAGUGGAAUUCCGGGUGUAGAGGUGAAAUUCGUAGAUAUUCGGAGGAACACCAGUGGCGAAGGCGGCUCACUGGACCAUUACUGACGCUGAGGUUCGAAAGCGUGGGGAGCAAACAGG
rnacentral:rRNA from 1 species